rnacentral:rRNA from 1 species
UAAUGCCGGAUGCUCCGACAUGACGCAUGUCGUGUCGGGAAAGAUUCAUCGGUAUGGGAUGGGGUCGCGUCCUAUCAGCUUGAUGGCGGGGUAACGGCCCACCAUGGCUUCGACGGGUAGCCGGCCUGAGAGGGCGACCGGCCACAUUGGGACUGAGAUACGGCCCAGACUCCUACGGGAGGCAGCAGUGGGGAAUAUUGCACAAUGGGCGCAAGCCUGAUGCAGCGACGCCGCGUGCGGGAUGACGGCCUUCGGGUUGUAAACCGCUUUUGACUGGGAGCAAGCCCUUCGGGGUGAGUGUACCUUUCGAAUAAGCACCGGCUAACUACGUGCCAGCAGCCGCGGUAAUACGUAGGGUGCAAGCGUUAUCCGGAAUUAUUGGGCGUAAAGGGCUCGUAGGCGGUUCGUCGCGUCCGGUGUGAAAGUCCAUCGCUUAACGGUGGAUCCGCGCCGGGUACGGGCGGGCUUGAGUGCGGUAGGGGAGACUGGAAUUCCCGGUGUAACGGUGGAAUGUG